GACGAACGCUGGCGGCGUGCUUAACACAUGCAAGUCGAACGCUGAAGCUUGGUGCUUGCACUGGGUGGAUGAGUGGCGAACGGGUGAGUAAUACGUGAGUAACCUGCCCUUGACUCUGGGAUAAGCCUGGGAAACUGGGUCUAAUACUGGAUACGACAUGUCACCGCAUGGUGGUGUGUGGAAAGGGUUUUACUGGUUUUGGAUGGGCUCACGGCCUGUCAGCUUGUUGGUGGGGUAAUGGCUCACCAAGGCGACGACGGGUAGCCGGCCUGAGAGGGUGACCGGCCACACUGGGACUGAGACACGGCCCAGACUCCUACGGGAGGCAGCAGUGGGGAAUAUUGCACAAUGGGCGGAAGCCUGAUGCAGCGACGCCGCGUGAGGGAUGACGGCCUUCGGGUUGUAAACCUCUUUCAGCACGGAAGAAGCGAAAGUGACGGUACGUGCAGAAGAAGCGCCGGCUAACUACGUG
rnacentral:rRNA from 1 species